AGUCGAGGGGCAGCAUGGUCUUAGCUUGCUAAGGCCGAUGGCGACCGGCGCACGGGUGAGUAACACGUAUCCAACCUGCCGUCUACUCUUGGACAGCCUUCUGAAAGGAAGAUUAAUACAAGAUGGCAUCAUGAGUCCGCAUGUUCACAUGAUUAAAGGUAUUCCGGUAGACGAUGGGGAUGCGUUCCAUUAGAUAGUAGGCGGGGUAACGGCCCACCUAGUCUUCGAUGGAUAGGGGUUCUGAGAGGAAGGUCCCCCACAUUGGAACUGAGACACGGUCCAAACUCCUACGGGAGGCAGCAGUGAGGAAUAUUGGUCAAUGGGCGAGAGCCUGAACCAGCCAAGUAGCGUGAAGGAUGACUGCCCUAUGGGUUGUAAACUUCUUUUAUAAAGGAAUAAAGUCGGGUAUGGAUACCCGUUUGCAUGUACUUUAUGAAUAAGGAUCGGCUAACUCCGUGCCAGCAGCCGCGGUAAUACGGAGGAUCCGAGCGUUAUCCGGAUUUAUUGGGUUUAAAGGGAGCGUAGAUGGAUGUUUAAGUCAGUUGUGAAAGUUUGCGGCUCAACCGUAAAAUUGCAGUUGAUACUGGAUAUCUUGAGUGCAGUUGAGGCAGGCGGAAUUCGUGGUGUAGCGGUGAAAUGCUUAGAUAUCACGAAGAACUCCGAUUGCGAAGGCAGCCUGCUAAGCUGCAACUGACAUUGAGGCUCGAAAGUGUGGGUAUCAAACAGGAUUAGAUACCCUGGUAGUCCACACGGUAAACGAUGAAUACUCGCUGUUUGCGAUAUACAGCAAGCGGCC
rnacentral:rRNA from 1 species